GAGUGGCAGUGACGUCUGCAUGCUUGCUAGCCUUCGUGCCCGACGUCCUUCCAUCAGGGCCCGCCCGACCUGCGGGAAAUCUGUACAUGUUUCCGUUGCGUCCAGUUUGUUCUUUUACGCAGUCAAACUUUCUUGUACAUUUUAGCUGCCGGUGCGACAGUGGAUAGAAACAAUGAUUUACAGGGACUUCCAUGGCUUGAAACCUCCUCUGUAGUAUACUCGCACAGGCACAACCUGACAGGAACAACCACCAUUCAAGGAAAACGCAAAAAGAUAACAACUUUUUAGGGAAAACAGAGAAAAAACAUUGUAGCUAAAAUGUUUGUGUGUGUCUUGAUUUUUGUAUGUAUCUGUUUUCUUCAUAGUAAACCAGUCCAAGUAAGGAGAAAAAUAUUUUGCUUUAUGUAUCAAAUAACUCAAUGUGAAUUGUAGUGGCAUGGCUUACUUAUUUCAACCUCACCGUACACUAAUAGUAUACCGUGGUUUUUAUUUUUUUAAGAUGAAAGAUUGAACAAGAUAUUGCUGUUAUACUGCUUAUCAUAUCAUGUACGCUAUAGUAAAUAAGUUUCCACUGCUACCAAAAUAUCAAAAACCGCCGAAAAGUUAAAAGCAAAAAAAAAAACACCUCGACGAGGUUGGUGAUCGAUCCGCUUCAACAAAUUACGCCCUCUGUUGUUCUUCGAGUUUCGAUUUCUCUUGGUUAAAUCACAUAAUUGUUUUACUCGGUAGGUGGCGCCUUGAAAUUAGUGACUUGUUUUUCUCUCAAUAUAUGAACAACUCGCUGUAAACCGAAAGCCCAGAAGUUUAGAAGGCAAUAAAUAGUUUUCAUAAUGGAAAGUGUUCAUGCUUUCGGAAGGGCCACUUCUCAAACGCAAGAGGGUGCGGUAAAUUAUCAUCGAGUAGCCUUAUCGAAUGCAAAGCAAAAUAACUGUUCUCGGUUACAAAUGUUGCGGAAGUACCCUCCGAUUCCUUUUGUGUAUUAGUGUGCAGCUCAGAGAUCCUAUUCUUAGGCCUAGAUACUGCUUUAUGCUUCUAAAGAUAAUUCAUUGAUUGUUUGAUGAAAGGGCACAGAGUGCAUUCUUACCCUGUAUCUAAAUGAAUCAAUAUUUUCACUGUUAGCAAAGUUUGCGAAACAUUGAUGGGUUUAAAGACACUGGACACUAUUGGUAAUUGUGAAAGACUAGUUUUCACAUUUUGUGUAUCUCAACAUAA